AUGGAGGAGGAUAAUGCCCAGAGAGAAGAGCCCAAGGAGGAUAGAGUUGGUGACGGGCAACAUGUCGUGAGAUCUCCCUUUGUGUGCACUUCAUCCUCAGAGGUUUUCAAUUCCAACAAGAUUAUGGCAGAGCAGAGCCACAUGCAAAAGCAGCUGGAUUUACAGAAUGGUAGCUUAGAGACAGGCUUUGUGGCGAAUUCCCUUGAAAACGAUUCCCAAAACAUGAUGGAGAGCCUGAGCCCGAAGAAAUAUUCUUCCAGUCUGAGAUUUAAAACCAAUGGAGACUAUUCUGGUUCCUAUUUAACCCUCUCACAACCUGUGCCUGCUAAAAGAAGCCCUUCUCCUUUGGGAACCAGUGUCAGAAGUAGCCCCUCCUUGGCCAAAAUCCAGGGAACCAAGCAGUUCUCUUGCGAUGCAAAUGACAAAAAUAUUUCCGUGAAACCUCCCACCCCUUUACGCAGCCCUUCACCCUCUCUUAGUGGAUAUCCACUUGGGAGAACAGACUUUGAUCAUUUUACAGGCCGGGACACUGAAAGGUCCUUGAGGCUUUCAGAGAAGCCUCCCUAUUCCAAAUAUAGCUCAAGGAAUAAAUCCCAUGACAAUGUCUACUUUCUCGGAGGGCUGGAAGGCCGAAAAGCAUCUGGCUCACUCCUGACCAUGUGGAAUGGAAGUUCCCUGAGUGAUACUGGCUCCUUGCCCAUUGGUAGGUCAGGGGCAGCCAGCAUGCCUUCAAGCCCAAAGCAAGCCAGGAAAAUAAGCAUCCAGGACAACCUGACACUUCAGCCCAAGUUGACCAGACACAAGGAUCUGGCAUCUGAAAACAUCAGUUUAAGAACUAGGAAGUACUCGAGCAGCAGCCUGAGUCACAUGGGUGCCUAUAGCCGAUCUCUCCCCAGGCUGCACAGAGCCACAGAGAAUCAGCUGGCACCUCUCAGUUUGCCUCCAAGAAGCUCUCUGGGCAAUUACAAACGAACGAAACUGGGGGAAAAGGAUCUACCUCAUAGCAUCACAGACAAUGACAAUUACCUGAAUUUUUCUUCUUUGAGCUCAGGAGCUUUACCCUAUAAAACCUCUGCCUCUGAGGGCAAUCCUUAUGUAAGUUCCACCCUCAGCGUCCCUGCCAGUCCUCGAGUGGCUCGGAAGAUGCUUCUGGCCUCCACCUCCUCCUGUACCUCUGAUGACCUUGAUAGGGCUUCCUACUUGGGGACCAGCCCAGGUCAUUCAUUCCCUCCCGGAGAGCUUGACAGAGCGUUUGCGGCCAGGAGGAACUUCUCAUGUGGGUCUGUUGAGUUUGAUGAUGCAGAUCUGGACAGCCUCAGACAGGCCUCAGGAACCCCCCAGCCUGUCCUUCGGGAACGGAAAAGCAGCAUUAGCUCCAUUUCAGGACGAGACGACCUGAUGGAUUAUCACCGGCGGCAGAGGGAGGAGAGACUCAGGGAGCAGGAGAUGGAGCGAUUGGUAAUCUUCUCAUCUGACUUGACCUCACUGUUUCAUUGAAUAACUUCUUGGAGACAAACCCCAAGGAUAUAUGC